CAUGUCCUUUUGAUAAUAAUUUAAGGUCUGAUCUGCUCAAUGAAAUUUAAAUUGCCGCAGUAUUUUGACUGUGCAAAGGUAGCAUAAUAAUUAGUUUUUUAAUUAGGAACUGGUAUGAAUGAUUGGACAAGAAAAUUACUGUCUCUUUUUUAAUUUUUAUUGAAUUUUAUCUUUAAGUGAAAAAGCUUAAAUUUUUAUAAAAGACGAGAAGACCCUAUAGAGUUUAAUAUUCUUAACUAUUUAAAUAUAGAAUAAUUUUUUUGUUAAGUUUUAUUUAGUUGGGGUGAUUUGAAGAUUAAAUUAAUUCUUUAAUUAAAAAAUUGGUGAUUUCUAAAAUAAGAUUCUAUUAUUUGUAAGUUUAAAAUAAAUUACCUUAGGGAUAACAGCGUAAUUUUUCUUUAAAGUUCUUAUUAAAAGAAAAGUUUGCGACCUCGAUGUUGGAUUAAAAUUAAUUUUUGGUGCAAUAACUUAAGAAUUAGGUCUGUUCGACCUUUAAAAUUUUACAUGAUCUGAGUUUAAACCGGUGUAAACCAGGUUGGAUUCUAUCUUUAAAUAAUUAUUAUAUUUUAGUACGAAAGGACCAAAUAUUUAUUAAAUUAAUUG
rnacentral:rRNA from 1 species